UUAUAGACAAUGAAAAAGAAUAGUACAUAUUACGCUGUUUUUCAGAAAAUUUGCGGUUGAUGCGAGCAAAUAUUCACGGAUAUGGAAUGGACUUUGGAGUCUUCAAGCCAAAUACUUGAACGUUUUUUCGACGUUAACCGAAAAACAUACUUUUAAUUUUGUAUGAUCAGAGUGAUUUCAGCAAUGAAAUAAUUAGGGUGGUACCACGGUCCAUUCGUCCCUAUU
rnacentral:ncRNA from 1 species